GAGCGCGCGACUCGAGAGGGAGCGCCUCGUGAUUGGUGCGCCGGGGAGCACGAGGCGCCCGCCUGCGCCGUCACAGCCGCCGCUGUGAGCGGAGGGGGCGGGAACGGAGCGAGCCGAUUGGCUGCUCCCUCGUUGUCCCGGUGACCGGCGCGCGCCGCUCGGGGGCGCAGUGCAAGGUGACCCCCGCCCCCCUCCAACGGCCGUCGAACGGCCGCGGCGCUGCCGCCCGGCCCGUGGGAACCCUUCGGGCACCGCUUCACCUUCGCCCGCCGGCGGUCUUAGCCGUGUCCCUGCCACCUGAUUGCUCAAACCUGAGGCAGAUUCAGCAGGGGAAGGUUUAGGCCCACCUUGGCGCAGUGUCUGGGUCCCCACACGGGCUUGCCCUCAUUGCAUCGUUCAUUACUCGGUGUUUAAGUGAGCUGGUGUUUACCCAGGGCUAGCCCUGCCAAGGCUUCGUAACGUGCCUGUCAUUCACUCCCGUGACGUGCCCCAGAAACAUCUGAGAAAUUUCUGUGCUGUACAAAGUGCAACCUAGAAUAUGUUUAUUUAAACUCUAUCAGGGAAAGUUAUUGACUGACUGACUUGAUUACCAUUUCCGAGGGCUGAUUCAUACCUGUACGGUAAAGCGGUCUCUGUUGGCUCAAGAAAAAUCAUAUCUGAAUGGCAAAGUGAUCUACAAAUAAGGAGAAUCAGUUCUACAUGCAGUGCUUUCUCAGCCGAGUUCCUUGGUUAAUUUUGGUGGUGAUGUUCUGCUUUUACCAGAAACGCCAGCUCUGCCUCCGUGCUGGACCGUGGCACAUGAGGGAUGUCAGAGCAGUGAUGUCAGAGCCAGCUGGAAGGAGCUGCACCUUUCCAGGCCCUCCUGCAGCCCAAAGGGAUGGGAAAGUUGCCCAAUAGGUCCCUGCCGAAGAAGCUGAAGACAUCAUUUUUAUAGUGUGGUCAACUAGGAAAGGCAGGAAGAUAUGUGACCGCAAUGGCAGGAACUGGGUCUUUCUGAAAGCCUAAGCAGCAACGCCAAAGAUGAAUGGGCUGAAGGCACAGUGCAAAACCCAGUGGAUUAUGUGGAAUGGCUGGUACUGGCGUCUCGAAACAUGAGAUCUGUCCUACACAAAACAAAUAACUUUCCGGUCUUGACGAAAGCCUCUCUGGGUUAGGCUUAAAGCAUGUAGGAGGAAAAAUGUGUGAGAAAUUUAUACUGCUGUGCUUCUUGCAAUAUAUUUUUAAUGUAUUAGCAGAGAAAGUGCUUUUCAUGCUAGA